rnacentral:rRNA from 1 species
GCCCUAGAUAUUAUCUAAGGUGCAACCUGCCCAAUGAUUUUAAAAUUAAAGCGCUUAAAAAACACUUAAUAAAAUUUAAAGGACGCAGUAACCUUGACUGUGAUAACGUAGCAUAAUCACUCGCCAUUUAAUUGAUGGAUAGUAUGAAUGGUUGAACGAAUAUUCCACUGUCUUAGAGAGAAACCCUACUAAAUUGAAAUAAUAGUUAAGAUGCUAUUUUAAAUUGUAAGACGAAAAGACCCUGUAGAGCUUAACUACAGUCUCAUUAAGACGAAAAGAAAACAAAUUCUCCUCCAAAUGAGAUAGGUAGUUUAGUUGGGGCGACUAUCUUCUAAAAACAACGAAGAGAAACGAGAGUUAAUAAAAGACUUACUGUAUAAUAAAUCUAUUUAACAGUUACAAAAGUAGGUUAUAAUGACCCGCUGUGUUAAAAUAAUAAUCACAGCGAUCAAUAGAUAAAAGCUACCUUAGGGAUAACAGGAUAAUUUCAUUUUAGAGAUCCUAUCGAAAAUGAAGUUUGUCACCUCUAUGUUGAAUUAAGAUAUCCAGACAAUGCAGAAGUUGUCAAGGGUAGGUCUGUUCGACCUUUAAAAUCUU